rnacentral:misc_RNA from 1 species
UGGUUCUGGCAUCGAUGAAGAACGCAGCGAAAUGCGAUAAGUAAUGCGAAUUGCAGAAUUUCCGUGAGUCAUCGAAUCUUUGAACGCACAUUGCGCCCUUUGGCAUUCCGAAGGGCAUGCCUGUUCGAGCGUCAUUAUCCUCUCUCAAACCUCGGGUUUGGUGUUGGACCGCGUUGGACCGCCACCAUGGCCAACUGGUCUCAAAGACAAUGACGGCGUCCUAGGGACCCUCUUCGCACUGAGCUUUCCGGAGCACGCGAAGAGUUUAAUUGGGCCCAUGGACCCGGUCACCUCUCUAUUUUUUUCAGGUUGACCUCGGAUCAGGUAGGAAUACCCGCUGA